AAGCAUUGAUGGUUUCUCUAAAGCGUUUGGUUUGAUAAACUUUUCCUCCCCAACAGCAAGUCAGUUUCCCCAACCGAGUUUGUAAUCACCUCCCCAGCUGAGUUGUAAGCUCAUGUCCUCAACGGUUUGCAUGGACCCAACCCAGAGUUUUAUCUCCUGUAAGUCCCCAGCGGAGUUCAUUUCUGAUCCCCGACAGUGUUGAUUCAUGAGAAGUAUUUGAUUUGUGUCCCCUGCGAGGUUGUCUCAUUUGAUUUAAUAUUGAACUAAAAUUC
rnacentral:lncRNA from 1 species